GAUGAACGCUGGCGGCGUGCCUAAUACAUGCAAGUCGAGCGAACAGACGAGGAGCUUGCUCCUCUGACGUUAGCGGCGGACGGGUGAGUAACACGUGGAUAACCUACCUAUAAGACUGGGAUAACUUCGGGAAACCGGAGCUAAUACCGGAUAACAUGUUGAACCGCAUGGUUCAACAGUGAAAGACGGUCUUGCUGUCACUUAUAGAUGGAUCCGCGCCGCAUUAGCUAGUUGGUAAGGUAACGGCUUACCAAGGCAACGAUGCGUAGCCGACCUGAGAGGGUGAUCGACCACACUGGAACUGAGACACGGUCCAGACUCCUACGGGAGGCAGCAGUAGGGAAUCUUCCGCAAUGGGCGAAAGCCUGACGGAGCAACGCCGCGUGAGUGAAGAAGGUCUUCGGAUCGUAAAACUCUGUUAUUAGGGAAGAACAAAUGUGUAAGUAACUAUGCACGUCCUGACGGUACCUAAUCAGAAAGCCACGGCUAACUACGUG
rnacentral:rRNA from 1 species